UCAGAUUUAUCGGGAACAACUCUAUUGUACCAUUAUCACGAUAAUCGAAGAGAGAUUAGACAAAAAAGAAUAGCUCGCCUAUAUAUCGGAGGAAAGAGGUGAAAAAAAGAAUAAAGUACUUUCAAUAAUGAGUACAAGAAACAAGUCUGGCGAAGACUGUCUAGGAAACACUGUCAUCAAUCCAUCACGACAACCCACGUAUACACCGG
rnacentral:sRNA from 1 species